rnacentral:rRNA from 1 species
GACGUAGGGGGCCAGCGUUGCUCGGAAUUACUGGGCGUAAAGGGUUCGUAGGCGGUGUGGCAAGUCGGUAGUGAAAUCUCCAGGCUUAACUUGGAGGCUGCUGCCGAAACUGCCGUGCUAGAGUACGGGAGAGGCGAGUGGAAUUACAGGUGUAGCGGUGAAAUGCGUAGAUAUCUGUAGGAACACCCGUGGCGAAGGCGGCUCGCUGGACCGUUACUGACGCUGAGGAACGAAAGCUAGGGGAGCAAACAGG